GAACGGUGAAGCCCAGCUUGCUGGGUGGAUCAGUGGCGAACGGGUGAGUAACACGUGAGCAAUCUGCCCCUGACUCUGGGAUAAGCGCUGGAAACGGUGUCUAAUACUGGAUACGAGCCGCGACCGCAUGGUCAGUGGUUGGAAAGAUUUUUCGGUCAGGGAUGAGCUCGCGGCCUAUCAGCUUGUUGGUGAGGUAAUGGCUCACCAAGGCGUCGACGGGUAGCCGGCCUGAGAGGGUGACCGGCCACACUGGGACUGAGACACGGCCCAGACUCCUACGGGAGGCAGCAGUGGGGAAUAUUGCACAAUGGGCGCAAGCCUGAUGCAGCAACGCCGCGUGAGGGAUGACGGCCUUCGGGUUGUAAACCUCUUUUAGCAGGGAAGAAGCGGAAGUGACGGUACCUGCAGAAAAAGCGCCGGCUAACUACGUGCCAGCAGCCGCGGUAAUACGUAGGGCGCAAGCGUUAUCCGGAAUUAUUGGGCGUAAAGAGCUCGUAGGCGGUUUGUCGCGUCUGCUGUGAAAUCCCGAGGCUCAACCUCGGGCCUGCAGUGGGUACGGGCAGACUAGAGUGCGGUAGGGGAGAUUGGAAUUCCUGGUGUAGCGGUGGAAUGCGCAGAUAUCAGGAGGAACACCGAUGGCGAAGGCAGAUCUCUGGGCCGUAACUGACGCUGAGGAGCGAAAGGGUGGGGAGCAAACAGGCUUAGAUACCCUGGUAGUCCACCCCGUAAACGUUGGGAACUAGUUGUGGGGUCCAUUCCACGGAUUCCGUGACGCAGCUAACGCAUUAAGUUCCCCGCCUGGGGAGUACGGCCGCAAGGCUAAAA
rnacentral:rRNA from 1 species